UAAUAGGUCAAGUUAGUUUAUGCACAUAAAACAUCAGCCUGUGGAUUUGAAAAAGAAAUCUGUUUCACUUGAC
rnacentral:tRNA from 1 species